rnacentral:rRNA from 1 species
CCCUUAGAUGUCCUGGGCCGCACGCGUGCUACACUGACGCAUACAGCAAGCACUUUCCAGUUCCGAGAGGCUACUGGUAAUCAUCAAUAUGCGUCGUGAUGGGGAUAGAUCUUUGGAAUUCUGGAUCUUGAACGAGGAAUGCCUAGUAAUCGCAGGUCAUUAGCCUGCGAUGAUUAAGUCCCUGCCCUUUGUACACACCGCCCGUCGCUACUACCGAUUUCGAGUGGUCAGGUGAAUCUUUCGGACUGUGGGCGCCCUUGAGGUGUUCGCGGAAAGUCAGGUAAAUCUUAUCACUUAGAGGAAGUAAAAGUCGUAACA